rnacentral:misc_RNA from 1 species
AACCACAACUCUUUUCCCCUCCAACACUGCCCUAACUGGUGAGAGCUUGAGUUUCACUCCGAAAUCCCUAAUCUUCUGUGAUGGUUCGAUGAACGUCCUACCAACAUAGUGCGACCUUAUCAAACCUUGUUGAAAUGGAACCCCUGCUUUAGCAGCAUAACCAAGUGCUGCCACAACACCUGAAUCAGGAACAGCUAUCACAACAUCACAUUCCACUGGAGCUUCAGUAGCUAGAAUUUCCCCGAAUGCACGCCUAGACUCAUACACAGACCUUCCAAACACGACUGAAUUAGGCAAGGCAAAGUAAAUAUGCUCAAAGAUACAAGAUUUAGGCUCAGGAUGAGGCAUCAAACAAAUAGAUUGAACCCCUUCUUUAUCCACCACAACAACCUCACCAGGAAGAACCUCCCUUUCAUAGGUAGCCUCAAUCAGAUCCAAAGCACACGUCUCCGACGCGAAAACAACAGCACCAUUACUUCUCCUUCCCAUAACCAAUGGCCUAAACCCAUAAGGAUCCCUAACAGCAACCAACUUAUCCUCAGUAGCAAACACCAUAGAAUAAGCACCCUCAAUCUUUUCACAAGCCUCAACAAUCCUUAAAAGAAAAGGUCUUGCCUUUGAUAUAGCAAUAAGAUGGAGAACCACCUCAGUAUCAGAACUAGUAUUGAAAAUUGAGCCAUUCUCUUCAAGCUCACCACGAAGUUGUUUGUAAUUGACUAAAUUCCCAUUAUGGGCAACACCAACUGACCCAAAUCUGUAACUAGCAACAAAAGGUUGAACAUUUUUUAACAUAGAAGACCCAGCAGUAGAAUA